rnacentral:rRNA from 1 species
UUAAAAAGCUCGUAGUUGGAUUUCUGGGAGGGUGCCAAUGUCCGCCGACGUGCGUGCGCAGCGGCGCCCUUCCAUCCUUCUGUUAACACCUCUUGGCAUUCAUUUGCUGGUGGUGGGCUCAGAUAUUUUACCUUGAGAAAAUUAGAGUGUUUCAGGCAGGCUUGGCCGGAAUACAUUAGCAUGGAAUAAGGGAAUAGGACUACGGUCUCUUUGUUGGUUUAAGGGACUGCAGUAAUGAUUAAUAGGGAUAGUUGGGGGCAUUAGUAUUUAAUUGUCAGAGGUGGAAUUCUCGGAUUUGUUAAAGACUAACUUAUGCGAAAGCAUUUGCCAAGGAUGUUUCCAUUAAUCAAGAACGAAAGUUAGGGGAUCAAAGACGAUCAGAUACCGUCCUAGCCUUAACCAUAAACUAUGCCGACUCGGGAUCGGGGGCGCGAACUAUCCGCCUUCGGCACCGUAUGAGAAAUCAAAGUCUUUGGGUUCUGGGGGGAGUAUGGU